rnacentral:lncRNA from 1 species
AAAAGUUAUUUACAACACACUUAAAAAUUAAAACAAAAAAAAUAAAAUCAACAAGUAUUUAAAAAAUGGGAUUACAUAAAAGGUUACGAAAAUGGUAAAAUAAAUUGUAAGAAGUUAUAAAAAAAUCAAUAAAAUGGCAAUUAAAAAAUAAAAACAAGUGGAAAAAGCAUUUGUUGUCACCAGGGAUCCAACCCAUGGCCUAAUGGGAAGUGGCGAAUUC